UACGAAGGGGGCUAGCGUUGUUCGGAUUUACUGGGCGUAAAGCGCACGUAGGCGGAUUGUUAAGUGAGAGGUGAAAUCCCGGAGCUCAACUCCGGAACUGCCUUCAUACUGGCAAUCUAGAGUCCGGAAGAGGUGAGUGGAACUCCUAGUGUAGAGGUGGAAUUCGUAGAUAUUAGGAAGAACACCAGUGGCGAAGGCGGCUCACUGGUCCGGUACUGACGCUGAGGUGCGAAAGCGUGGGGAGCAAACAGG
rnacentral:rRNA from 1 species